rnacentral:misc_RNA from 1 species
GAUGAAGAACGUAGCGAAAUGCGAUAAGUAAUGUGAAUUGCAGAAUUCAGUGAAUCAUCGAAUCUUUGAACGCACCUUGCGCUCCUUGGUAUUCCGAGGAGCAUGCCUGUUUGAGUGUCAUGAAAUUCUCAACCUUUUCAGCUUUCUUUGUUGAUCAGGCUUGGAUGUGGGAGUAUGCGGGCUUCUCAGAAGUCGGCUCUCCUGAAAUGCAUUAGCGGGACCUUUGUUGCCUGGCUUUGGUGUGAUAAUUAUCUACGCCAUUGUAGUCAAGGAGCUUAGAAUGAGGUUUCAGCUUCUAACCGUCUCCCCUGAGACAACUUUUUGACAAUUUGACCUCAAAUCAGGUAGGACUCCCCGCUGAACUUAAGCAUAUCAAUAGCGGAGGA